GAAGUAGGACUGCCAGGACGUCCAUAGGGAAAUAGCCUCUGUAUCCAACUAUCCGCAGGGUUUCACCGUCUGGCAAAGAGGAGAGGGAAUCUUACGCACUGUGACACCAUGGGACCCGAAUUCCAUCAUCCUUCCCAGGACAGGCCAUUCCACUCCUGUGCCAGUGACCACCAGCUCCGCCGGGUACCUCAGCUGGUCAUGAAGUCAAUUAAACAUGCGGUUAAAGUA